CACGGCGUGCGCGGCUGGAGCGGCCUGCUGAAUUAUUCACCCGUGUCUUUUGCGUACUUCUUGUUUCCUGGGUGGGCUCGCCCGCCAUCAGGACCAACCAUAAACCUUUUUGUAAUAGCAAUCAGCGUCAGUAACAACGUAAUUAAUUACAACUUUCAACAACGGAUCUCUUGGUUCUGGCAUCGAUGAAGAACGCAGCGAAAUGCGAUACGUAGUGUGAAUUGCAGAAUUCAGUGAAUCAUCGAAUCUUUGAACGCACAUUGCGCCCUUUGGUAUUCCAAAGGGCAUGCCUGUUCGAGCGUCAUUUGUACCCUCAAGCUUUGCUUGGUGUUGGGCGUCUUUUGUCUCCAGCUCGCUGGAGACUCGCCUUAAAGUCAUUGGCAGCCGGCCUACUGGUUUCGGAGCGCAGCACAAGUCGCGCUCUUGCCCAGCCAAGGUCAGCGUCCAGCAAGCCUUUUUUCAACCUUUGACCUCGGAUCAGGUAGGGAUACCCGCUGAACUUAAGCAUAUCAAUAAGCGGAGGA
rnacentral:rRNA from 1 species